AAAUUAUGGCUUAGGCAAACAAGUUUUCUGUUUCUUUUGUUUAUUUGUUUAUUUUUCCUGAAGUGAUAAGAGGUAGACAUUGACUGGUGUUGAUUUCGGACAUACAGUGAUGUCAUCUGGAGCUUUCUGCCAUGCUUACCAUGUUGAUGACACUCUCUUGCCAUGUCAUUAUCACAACUUCAGUCAUCAUGUUCAUGUUUAAAGUUGCACUGGCAUUUCAGCUUCAGACCAUCAAACUUUAAAGCAUCGUGAGGACUCUGAGCCAACCCUGGAAAAGUGUGCCCUUUCUGGUCCAGCACCUGUCUGUUUGCUCAGCUCCAUAAACGGCUGACUUAUAAGAGCUACUCACACAGUGUAGCUUUCACAUAAAGAGUAAAGAGCAUCUCUACUUGCUGCAAAUCUGGGUGUCUUGACAGACGGAUUUAAUUCGACCUCGCUUUCUGCCUGAUGUGGAGUGACAUGCAAUACAGGCUGGUCUGGCAUAUCAGAUGGAUGAAAUUGCAUGUGGGGCUUUUUGGCUUCCACCUCCUCCCUCUUCUCUGAUCUUAGGCAAGAAUGGAGGUGCAAGGUACUGCAUCUGGUCCCCAGGAAUGAAGGUGACACUUUCUCUCUGGAGGCAACUUCUACAAGCACAGAGUGGAAUGGAAUUGACAGUGAGCUGUGAUAGAGGCAGCGCGCACCCCCAGCAGCAAGAGUGGCACCAUCAGGCUCCUUCUGGGAACUACAUCAGCAUCUCAGCAGCAAGCUGCCAGAGCUUUGAAGUGUGUCUAUUUGAAAAUGUGGUGAAUAGCAGAGGAAAGAAAAAAAAAUGAGAACAUAAUUGGAUGGAAGCAAUGAACUGCAUUUUCAGAAUUAGUCAAGAUUAGGCAAAAUGCUGGGGUUCUUAGUUCCAGCACUAUUUACAUUUUGAGUUGGGUCCAUGUGAUAACCAACAAUAUCUUCAGAUAUUUGCCAAAUGUCAUCUGGAAGGCAAAAUAGUCCCAAGUGAGGAUUACCUGGGAUGAAAGGAAGAAGGAGGAGGAGGAGGAGGGGGAGGAGGAGGAGAAGGAGAAAAGGGAAGGAGAGGGAAGGGAAAGGGGAAGAGAAAGAAAGAAAAGAAAAGAAAAAGAAAAGAAAAGAAAAGAAAGAAAAAAGAAAAGAAAAGAAAAGAAAAAAGAAAAGAAAAAGAAAAGAAAAGAAAAGAAAAGAAAAGAAAAGAAAAGAAAAGAAAAGAAAAGAAAAGAAAAGAAAAGAAAAAAGAAAAGAAAAAGAAAAGAAGAGAAGAAAAGAACCUUGUGUUUUGGUUAGUAACGUCUUCUGAAUUUCACCAUAGCACUCUUGGAUCCUGCCCUGUUUCAAACUCUGGCUAAUAUUCUCAUAAACGAGAUGGCCUGGCCCUAGGGAGACCCCCUUGCUUGGCCCAGGUACCAGUUCUUUAAUGAAUUCUUGCUCUGUUUGGCUCUUUGUCUCAUACUUCAAUUUCAUUUGACUCAUUGUUUUACAUUGAAACACCAAUAUUUCUCGUGACUAAAGUACCAUACUGCCUCUCCAGAGUCCUUGACAGAAAUCUUUUCAUUUCACUCACUCAACCUGGGGCCGCACCACUUGCCCAUCCACCAUUGCAUUCCCCUCCUUCUCUCCUGCCAAACACUCCUGAUGCUGUGCCGUCUCUCUGCCUGGCCUCUCAUUCUUGUGUACCACUUCAUAAAUAAAAUCCCUGGCAGAUAUGCUUCA
rnacentral:lncRNA from 12 species